rnacentral:rRNA from 1 species
CCUACGGGCGGCUGCAGUGGGGAAUAUUGCACAAUGGGCGCAAGCCUGAUGCAGCCAUGCCGCGUGUGUGAAGAAGGCCUUCGGGUUGUAAAGCACUUUCAGCGGGGAGGAAGGCGGUGAGGUUAAUAACCUCAUCGAUUGACGUUACCCGCAGAAGAAGCACCGGCUAACUCCGUGCCAGCAGCCGCGGUAAUACGGAGGGUGCAAGCGUUAAUCGGAAUUACUGGGCGUAAAGCGCACGCAGGCGGUCUGUCAAGUCGGAUGUGAAAUCCCCGGGCUCAACCUGGGAACUGCAUUCGAAACUGGCAGGCUAGAGUCUUGUAGAGGGGGGUAGAAUUCCAGGUGUAGCGGUGAAAUGCAUAGAGAUCGGGAGGAAUACCGGUGGCGAAGGCGGCUCUCUGGCCUAUAACUGACGCUGAGGCGCGAAAGCGUGGGGAGCAAACAGGAUUAGAUACCCGAGUAGUC